CUGAUCUCACCAAGAGAGCCACACGCCAGUGCCUUGAGCGUUGCUAUGCCCUCUGCCUGGGAUGCUCCUAUCCCACAUUCGAAGCCUAUUUCCAUUCUGUGUUCAGUUUCCAUGGCUCCUCCUGAGACAGGAGGAUGAGUUUUAAAGAUGACGCCUGUGGACCCAGGAGCAUAAGGGUUAUUGCAAUUGUCAUCCAGUCUAUGAGGAGGCGCCUCUGGACCGUAUGUGGCUGUGAUCCCAGGACCUUGGACAGCGCCCGGUGUUCCGGGUGCUCUGUGCUCAGUUAACAGUGUAUUGAGUGUGUCAGAAAUUUACACUCACCCCUGCACCUAUCGGCACAGCCUGACAACAUCUAAGGGAAAUACUAACGGCUCUACAAAAAGAAAUAGACGAUCCAGGUGGGAGACCGGCCCACUUCUUUAGAAACCUUCCAAGCAAAUAUGAAAACAAGAUUUGAAUGAUCUGCAGUACAUCGAAGUGUCUUCACUCCCGAGAGAUAGUAACGCCUUAAAAACCGAGGUUGAAUAAAAUAAAAAUAGUAUUAAAACGCUUCGAGGUUUAACACCGUUAGAAGCAGCACUGAGGUGAAAUACUCACGUCUACCGUCCUUUCCUCGCUUCCUGUGACUGCCCACCCUGAUUCGGCAGCUUCACUGGACUGAGACACGCCUGGGCACAGGGAAAGCGCACUCUGGGUGCGUCUCGGGGGUGCGGAGCCGGCGCUGGGCCCCGGCCCCUCCGUCUCCGGCCGGCCGGCGCUGUCUCUUACACUCCUUCCCGGCCACCACCAGCUGAGCAGCUUUGCCCCUCCUUUGACGCCUUCCAGCACGAUGUCCCUGAAAACCCGAGCCAGUUAAACCCUUCCUUCUGUGAGGUGAGAAAUCUGAACAACUUGUAUGAUGUUCGUGCCAGAGAGCAGCUUGCUGUAAAUCACAGAAAUUCCUUGCUAGUCAGGGUUUUACAACUGGCAAACUACCACAGAACCUCAGCACAGAUUAUGGACAGAGGGAAGAGUGUGAGGCGACGUGGGGCGAGAAAUGUAUAGCAGGUAACCGAUAGUGUGUGAUAAAGACAUCAUUAACGACUGGUCAUCCAGAAACGAACUGCCUGUGUCGGCUGACUGUUUAAUGUUUUCAUGUAAAGAACAGCAGUGUGCUUUCUGCAUCAUUUUCUACAAAGUGAGAGUCUG
rnacentral:lncRNA from 1 species